CUCUGACUCAGCAAAUGGAUCAGGGCAAAGGAG
rnacentral:ncRNA from 1 species